rnacentral:rRNA from 1 species
GAGUUUGAUCGUGGCUCAGAACGAACGCUGGCGGCGCGCCUAACACAUGCAAGUCGAACGUGAAAGGGGGCAACCCUGAGUAAAGUGGCGCACGGGUGAGUAACGCGUAGGUGAUCUACCUCUUUGAUUGGGAUAACUAGCCGAAAGGUUAGCUAAUACUAGGUAGUGCGCAGGAUUCGUAAAGAAUUCUGCGGGGAAGGUGCGUAGCAAUACGCUAUUGCAAAGAGAUGAGCCUGCGUCUCAUUAGCUAGUGGUAGGUAAUGGCUACCAAGGCGAUGAUGGGUAGCUGGUCUGAGAGGACGGAUCAGCCACACUGGAACUGAACACGGUCCAGACUCCUACGGGAGGCAGCAGUGGGGAAUUUUGCACAAUGGACGCAAGUCUGAUGC